UAAAUACGAGGUAUAAAUAAAAGAAAAAAAACUGCAGUCGACCAAACUAUCAACCCUAACCCACGCCUCUCUCUUCCUCACUCUCAUCUCACGUUUCUCUCUUCCUCACUCUCAUCUCACAUUUUGGUGCUCUCUCUUUCUUGCAAAUCUCACGAAAUCAGAUCUGGUUUUCGGGUGUUCGUACUGUGAAGUCUGGUGUUUACAGUUUCGGGGUGGUGGUUUCGGGUCUCCGGAAGAAGGCCAGUGGUCGAUAAACAGCUUGCUUGGAAUUGCAAACGACAAGUCUCAGACACGCAAGCUUUAGGGCAAACAGAGUGUGUAGAGAAAUACCACAAGACAGAAACAAGAGACAAAAUUUACAAGCUAAUCAAGAAAGUCACUGAGUAUGGAGAUUUUCUGAGGUUGGCUGGGGCUAAUCUUUGAUGCUGGGUCAUUUUCUUAUCCAGUUCAACAGCUUGAGUGAAACAACAUCUUUUCAGUCUUUGAAUUUGAGCUCAGAUGAAGGUGUUUGAGGUCGAUGCUCACACAAUCACUCUUUCCCUCUUCAUCGACGUCACUAAUUCAAAUACCAUCCAGAUAUGAACAGAACUCCGGGUUCGGAGGAAAAAUUCAAAGAGCUCAGUGCUGCAUAUGAGGUAACGAUUAGCACUUAAACUGCAGGCAGUGCAACCAACAGAAGAAAUGAUUCACAAGGAGAAAGGCAGGAAAAGUCGACAAGUUCAAGCAGUUUGAAGAAGUUGAUGCUAUGUAUAAUGAUGGGUGGUGGGUGGGUUGCAUUUCUUAAGUCCUUGGUGACUCAAAAUAUUUAGUUUUCUUCCAGAUUUUUGUUGUGGAGUUUAAAUCAGUGUACAUGUAAUUAUAUGGGAUUUGUAUUAGAUUUUGUUCUAAGUAUACUAGAAUUUAGUUCUAGAAUUAUUUUUUCACUUGUAUCUAUAUUUAUUAUCAAUAAUAAUUGAAUUGAUUAAUUUGUUUGCCUUAAUAAAAGAAGUAUGGUAUUUGCAUUA